AUUGAACGCUGGCGGCAGGCCUAACACAUGCAAGUCGAACGAGUGGCGGACGGGUGAGUAAUGUCUGGGAAACUGCCCGAUGGCGGGGGAUAACUACUGGAAACGGUAGCUAAUACCGCAUACCAUCAGAUGUGCCCAGAUGGGAUUAGCUUGUUGGUGGGGUAACGGCUCACCAAGGCGACGAUCCCUAGCUGGUCUGAGAGGAUGACCAGCCACACUGGAACGGAGACACGGUCCAGACUCCGACGGGAGGCAGCAGUGGGGAAUAUUGCACAAUGGGCGAAACCCUGAUGCAGCCAUGCCGCGUGUAUGAUGAAGGCCUUCGGGUUGUAAAGUACUUUCAGCGGGGAAGCGUUACCCGCAGAAUAAGCACCGGCUAACUCCGUGCCAGCAGCCGCGGUAAUAC
rnacentral:rRNA from 1 species